UACAGAGGGGGCGAGCGUUGUUCGGAAUUACUGGGCGUAAAGGGCGCGUAGGCGGCCCGCUAAGUCGAACGUGAAAUCCCCAGGCUCAACCUGGGAACUGCGUCCGAUACUGGCAGGCUUGAAUCCGGGAGAGGGAUGUGGAAUUCCAGGUGUAGCGGUGAAAUGCGUAGAUAUCGGAAGGAACAUCAGUGGCGAAAGCGACUUCCUGGACCAGUACCGACGUUCAGGCACGAAAGCGUGGGGAGCAAACAGG
rnacentral:rRNA from 1 species